AACCAUUAGGAAGUGAAAAUGGGUGUUAUUAUUACCACCACGUGUAUUUGUUUGCUUAUGUUUUUGGUUUCUCCAGGAAACUGAAAGAUCUUUGGAACCAUGGACUGUGUCCUCUCUUGCUUGUUCAUCACAAUAUUUCUAGCGCCAGUCUAGCACCAGACUGGCCUCCUGAGAAAGAGGAGAGUGACUGACUUACUGCUCAUCAUGAGGAAAUGGGUGCAACUGAGAGUGAGGAAAUGGUAUUGGAUGCCUGGAUUCAGUUCCCAUCUCUGCUUUUCCCAUCUCUGUGGGAUCCUGGGUUUUGUGGAUGGUACAAGGGAAAUACAACAAACGGCCUCUGAACUCAAAGAACUGAGAGUUUAUUAACCAACACAGAAUAUUAUAUACUAUCAGCACUAAAACUGCAUGUUUGCUAAACAUUAAGGAAUGGUCAGAAGAUGAAACCUAAAGGAAGAUUUCCUUGUGAUUGAAAGUGUUUCCAUCAAUUAGUUCCUUCCUACUAUAAU